AUUGAACGCUGGCGGCAUGCCUUACACAUGCAAGUCGAACGUGAAAGGGGGCAACCCCGAGUAGAGUGGCGAACGGGUGAGUAAUGCAUCGGAACGUGCCCAGUAGUGGGGGACAACCUCGAGAAAUCGAGGCUAAUACCGCAUACGACCUACGGGUGAAAGCGGGGGACCGCGAGGCCUCGCGCUAUUGGAGCGGCCGAUGUCCGAUUAGCUUGUUGGGGGGGUAACGGCUCACCAAGGCGACGAUCGGUAGCUGGUCUGAGAGGACGACCAGCCACACUGGGACUGAGACACGGCCCAGACUCCUACGGGAGGCAGCAGUGGGGAAUUUUGGACAAUGGGGGCAACCCUGAUCCAGCCAUGCCGCGUGCGGGAAGAAGGCCUUCGGGUUGUAAACCGCUUUCGGCCGGAACGAAAUCGCCGGGGAUAACACCCUCGGUGGAUGACGGUACCGGAAGAAGAAGCACCGGCUAACUACGUGCCAGCCGCCGCGGUAAUAC
rnacentral:rRNA from 1 species